AAAAAAAAAACCCACUCCGGACAUAGUGACUGUAGCUGGGUCUUGGACUGCAAGAAGACCAUCCUGCAGUGAGCACAGGGAGGAGGAGGUGCAUGCAAGCGAUACUGCAGGGCCAGAAUCAGAAUCAUCAGCACGUAGCAACUGAUUGGAUUUCUGGAGCAAGAAAGAAGAGUUGAAGAUAAUGUUGAACUUUCUCAUUGGGAGAUUUUACUAACAUUAUUGAGCAAUUACUGCAUGAUGGAUGUUACGCUAAGAGCAUUCUACAAUUAUUAUACCUCUUACGUCUCCCAGUAGUUCUGUUAAGCACUGAAUACUGUGGAUACAAAGAGCCCAGAGUCAUCAAGAGGAACCAGGAACUCUAACAUGAUGUGUGGAGCAGGCUAUGCAAAGAGGGGUACCUCUCCCAGUCAGAGGCAUCAGAGAAGGCUUCCUGGUGGAGAACGUGUGUGAUGGACUUAUGGACUCAUUCACUGCAUCGAUCUUGGGCACUGCCCAGCUUCAUGUUCCACUCUCCCGUUUAUCCCAAAUUGCUGAGGAUUUCCUAAGAACCAUCACUUUCCAGAGCUCAUUAUUUUCUGUUAUUUGCCUCAGCAGCACAAGCUGUUUUCACAAAGAAAUAAAGGGUCUUCUAUUCCA